rnacentral:lncRNA from 1 species
GAAGCGAAAAAGAGAAAUAGAGAGAGAGGGAGAUGGAUGGAUUUAAUCGAGUCUUUUUAUUUGGAUCCAACUCAGUUGAGUCUGGAUCAACUCGAAUUGUAUAGAUUCAUUCAAAAAUUUAACCUAAAUCUAGACUUAGACUCAGGCCAGAUUGAGAGUAUCUUUCUAUUUCAUCUCAAUUCUCUUCGAUUCGAAGAUUAAUUAAACCUAUUAUUUAUUUAUGCUAGAGCCUUUGUC